CUGGCUCGAAGUCUGCCGUGGCGCGAAGUAUAGAAGCAGCGGGUAAAUGCGACAAAGACUGUAGAGACAAGUAUGGAUACAUAUCAUCUCCCUGCAAGGGCGCACAAGUGGCUGAAGGGUUCGUAAUUUUGGAAAUGAUUUGCAAAUGCCACAGCUCCAGGGAACUGACGGCAGCUCUCCGCUAUCGGAACUACGACACCCCCAUGGACAGACUCGCGCUCUCAAUAGCAAUGUGUUGGUCCGUUGAACAUUUUCACAACUGGUUACGCGAGCAUCAAAUUUCUGUGUCGUUCGAAGACCCCUACGGACGCAGUUUCUAUAACGGGCGCACAAUCCCCUACAAGGGGUUGAAUAAUGCUGUGUCGCCACGAAAAUCGCCGUGUCGCAAUUGUGGCUUUGUGCAAAAGGACACUCAAGGCACUCCACAUGACGGAGGAAGAUUGCAACUUCCAUUGCGCAUGGAAGUAUGAGAAUUUUGGCAACAGCUGGACAAUAUUUUGGAGAAUUUCCCAUGCUUGGUUUCUUCUUGCAACAAGCCCAUUUACGAACACCACGAGAAACUGUUUGCAGUCAAUGAAAAUAAAAGAAAAUAGCAUUAAUCGCAGAGUAACUUCGAGGAAUUCACCGCGGUCAUUCCUCCAGUGACUUCGGAAUCACCAAGAGACGUCCUGCCGUGCGAAGGAAACACGCCGUAUGAGGAUUCAAAUGUUGCCAAGUUGCCUCUCAAGAGGAAAAUUCCUGUUGAAGAACGUCAUGAAUAUCUUGCCUUGAAAUUUUCAGACACUUUGGAUCAAAUUACAAUCGAAAUUCUCGGAAAAUCGGAGGAAAAAUAUCCACAAAUAUACCCGACGAUUCGUGAUUUUCCGAAGGAGAUUUGGCAACGUCUGAAGGAUCAUACGGCGUUCUUCCUCAACACAGCAGCAUUGGCCGUUUAUCUGCGUCAAACUUACCGAGAGGAUCGACUGCGGCCAUGUAAACAUAAUUUUAUUUACCUCAACUCGCAGUUUUUUUCAUCCGUCUAGCUAAGGUUUAUCUGGAUAAAAUUGAUUGAAUCACCAUCAUUUCAAAAAUUUGAUCGCGGUUUCUUUCUCAUCGGUACUAGCACGAUCAAAUCACAAUUUUAUCUGUCUACAUUUACAGCGAUUUAUUCACCAACAGCCAUAGGCGUAGCUAGGGGGUCCUGGGGGGCCUGCCCCCCCCCAGAAAUCUCGUGGCCCCCCCCAGAAAUCUCGUGGCCCCCCCCCCAGAAAAAAGGG
rnacentral:lncRNA from 1 species